AGGAAAUGGAAUCAUGGAGCGGCUUCUAUGGUGACCCAGAGGAUUCUGGGAUGCUGGACAGCGUGGCUUUAUCUGGAGGUGAAAAUUUGGUUUUUAAAGAUUAUCUCUGGGGCCAGGACAGAAUGGCAGUGAACUCUGAAGGAAGAUGAAUAAUUUGCUUCUUAAAGGCAACAUUAAGAUACAGACUAAAGAUAUGCGACACCUGAUUAAGAACAGUUUCCUGUUCAAUACUGGGAAAACAGGAAACUCCCUACAGCGAACGGAAUUUCAAAUGUCGCACAUUCACCUGCAAACCACGCAGUAGCACUUUGGCUUGUGGCUACGUAACACCCAUGAGAUCCCAGGUUCUGGAACGUGUCAGCAGCUGGACGGUCACGACAUGGCUUUGAAAAGAGCAGACUGUGCCGGAGACCUGGAGAGAAGCCCACAUCUGUGACCUCCGCGAAGAGCCAUCAGUGAAGAAGCACCUUAAGCCUUGUGUUCACGUAGCUGACACCUAAGCACAGGUACUGAGGGUGUGGCUCAACCUCACAAUGCAGUCCCUCAUCGUUAUCCUGAUCUGCGCGGGAUACCAUCGGCUGCAAUCCGUCUGUCUCUCAAACGUACAACAUCGAGCCCCUCCUGGGACUUUCACAUACAACCAGAUGGCCCCCAUAUGGCCCCACAUCUAAGCAUG